GAUGAACGCUGGCGGCGUGCCUAAUACAUGCAAGUCGAGCGAACAGAUGAGGAGCUUGCUCCUCUGACGUUAGCGGCGGACGGGUGAGUAACACGUGGAUAACCUACCUAUAAGACUGGGAUAACUUCGGGAAACCGGAGCUAAUACCGGAUAAUAUAUUGAACCGCAUGGUUCAAUAGUGAAAGACGGUUUUGCUGUCACUUAUAGAUGGAUCCGCGCCGCAUUAGCUAGUUGGUAAGGUAACGGCUUACCAAGGCAACGAUGCGUAGCCGACCUGAGAGGGUGAUCGGCCACACUGGAACUGAGACACGGUCCAGACUCCUACGGGAGGCAGCAGUAGGGAAUCCUCCGCAAUGGGCGAAAGCCUGACGGAGCAACGCCGCGUGAGUGAUGAAGGUCUUCGGAUCGUAAAACUCUGUUAUUAGGGAAGAACAAAUGUGUAAGUAACUAUGCACGUCUUGACGGUACCUAAUCAGAAAGCCACGGCUAACUACGUG
rnacentral:rRNA from 1 species